AUGUUGGGGGCUCAAGCAGUUCCCCUCCAUGUGUCUUAUUCUUUGGUGGGUUAUGUCUUACUUGAUUGAGCUGUUUUGGCUGCUUGGGCUAUCUGAAAUCCAGGCCUGAGGAUACCAUCUCUUUACCACAUGUGGGUAUGGUGUUUCUCAAGAUGGCACUGUCUGUCAGGAUGUCCCUUUCUUUAGCCAACAGGUAAUGUCAUAACAAGUGACUAAAUCUCUCAAGUUGGAGAGGGGUAGAUAUAAUUGAUGGUGCGGUUGUAUUUAACAUAUUCUAAACAUACAAUUUACUCUGUAGGAUGACUUUAUAGAUGAGGAAACUGGCAGGGAUUCCCUGUUUAAGGAUGGAAACCAAAUCCAGACCUUGUCUCUCUGUGUUUCAUACAGUUUAUACUCCUUUUUUUUAUGUUUGUUUUGGUAAUCUUUUUGUCAAGCAAACUCAUACUUUGAAGAUUUUGUUAAUAAUUUGAAUUCACCAAAACAAAUUAAAACGGGGGUGGGGAGGGAAGAGAGGAAGGAAGGAAGGAAAAGAAAGAAGGAAAAAGAAACUGUAUCAUAAGAUCUCUGUCCAGUUUCCAAUCAAAGAGGAAGGAAA